GCCGUAGCUCAGCUGUAGGGCACUGCCUUCUAUGCAGAAGGUGCCAGGUUCAAUCCCUGGAAUCUCCA